rnacentral:rRNA from 1 species
GAACGCUGGCGGCAGGCCUAACACAUGCAAGUCGAGCGGAUGAAAGGAGCUUGCUCCUGGAUUCAGCGGCGGACGGGUGAGUAAUGCCUAGGAAUCUGCCUGGUAGUGGGGGACAACGUUUCGAAAGGAACGCUAAUACCGCAUACGUCCUACGGGAGAAAGCAGGGGACCUUCGGGCCUUGCGCUAUCAGAUGAGCCUAGGUCGGAUUAGCUAGUUGGUGAGGUAAUGGCUCACCAAGGCGACGAUCCGUAACUGGUCUGAGAGGAUGAUCAGUCACACUGGAACUGAGACACGGUCCAGACUCCUACGGGAGGCAGCAGUGGGGAAUAUUGGACAAUGGGCGAAAGCCUGAUCCAGCCAUGCCGCGUGUGUGAAGAAGGUCUUCGGAUUGUAAAGCACUUUAAGUUGGGAGGAAGGGUUGUAGAUUAAUACUCUGCAAUUUUGACGUUACCGACAGAAUAAGCACCGGCUAACUCUGUGCCAGCAGCCGCGGUAAUACAGAGGGUGCAAGCGUUAAUCGGAAUUACUGGGCGUAAAGCGCGCGUAGGUGGUUUGUUAAGUUGGAUGUGAAAUCCCCGGGCUCAACCUGGGAACUGCAU